UUAAGCGACUAAGCGUACACGGUGGAUGCCCUGGCAGUCAGAGGCGAUGAAGGACGUGCUAAUCUGCGAUAAGCGUCGGUAAGGUGAUAUGAACCGUUAUAACCGGCGAUUUCCGAAUGGGGAAACCCAGUGUGUUUCGACACACUAUCAUUAACUGAAUCCAUAGGUUAAUGAGGCGAACCGGGGGAACUGAAACAUCUAAGUACCCCGAGGAAAAGAAAUCAACCGAGAUUCCCCCAGUAGCGGCGAGCGAACGGGGAGCAGCCCAGAGCCUGAAUCAGUGUGUGUGUUAGUGGAAGCGUCUGGAAAGACGCGCGAUACAGGGUGACAGCCCCGUACACAAAAAUGCACAUGCUGUGAGCUCGAUGAGUAGGGCGGGACACGUGGUAUCCUGUCUGAAUAUGGGGGGACCAUCCUCCAAGGCUAAAUACUCCUGACUGACCGAUAGUGAACCAGUACCGUGAGGGAAAGGCGAAAAGAACCCCGGCGAGGGGAGUGAAAAAGAACCUGAAACCGUGUACGUACAAGCAGUGGGAGCACGCUUAGGCGUGUGACUGCGUACCUUUUGUAUAAUGGGUCAGCGACUUAUAUUCUGUAGCAAGGUUAACCGAAUAGGGGAGCCGAAGGGAAACCGAGUCUUAACUGGGCGUUAAGUUGCAGGGUAUAGACCCGAAACCCGGUGAUCUAGCCAUGGGCAGGUUGAAGGUUGGGUAACACUAACUGGAGGACCGAACCGACUAAUGUUGAAAAAUUAGCGGAUGACUUGUGGCUGGGGGUGAAAGGCCAAUCAAACCGGGAGAUAGCUGGUUCUCCCCGAAAGCUAUUUAGGUAGCGCCUCGUGAAUUCAUCUCCGGGGGUAGAGCACUGUUUCGGCAAGGGGGUCAUCCCGACUUACCAACCCGAUGCAAACUGCGAAUACCGGAGAAUGUUAUCACGGGAGACACACGGCGGGUGCUAACGUCCGUCGUGAAGAGGGAAACAACCCAGACCGCCAGCUAAGGUCCCAAAGUCAUGGUUAAGUGGGAAACGAUGUGGGAAGGCCCAGACAGCCAGGAUGUUGGCUUAGAAGCAGCCAUCAUUUAAAGAAAGCGUAAUAGCUCACUGGUCGAGUCGGCCUGCGCGGAAGAUGUAACGGGGCUAAACCAUGCACCGAAGCUGCGGCAGCGACGCUGAUGCGUUGUUGGGUAGGGGAGCGUUCUGUAAGCCUGUGAAGGUGUGCUGUGAGGCAUGCUGGAGGUAUCAGAAGUGCGAAUGCUGACAUAAGUAACGAUAAAGCGGGUGAAAAGCCCGCUCGCCGGAAGACCAAGGGUUCCUGUCCAACGUUAAUCGGGGCAGGGUGAGUCGACCCCUAAGGCGAGGCCGAAAGGCGUAGUCGAUGGGAAACAGGUUAAUAUUCCUGUACUUGGUGUUACUGCGAAGGGGGGACGGAGAAGGCUAUGUUGGCCGGGCGACGGUUGUCCCGGUUUAAGCGUGUAGGCUGGUUUUCCAGGCAAAUCCGGAAAAUCAAGGCUGAGGCGUGAUGACGAGGCACUACGGUGCUGAAGCAACAAAUGCCCUGCUUCCAGGAAAAGCCUCUAAGCAUCAGGUAACAUCAAAUCGUACCCCAAACCGACACAGGUGGUCAGGUAGAGAAUACCAAGGCGCUUGAGAGAACUCGGGUGAAGGAACUAGGCAAAAUGGUGCCGUAACUUCGGGAGAAGGCACGCUGAUAUGUAGGUGAAGUCCCUCGCGGAUGGAGCUGAAAUCAGUCGAAGAUACCAGCUGGCUGCAACUGUUUAUUAAAAACACAGCACUGUGCAAACACGAAAGUGGACGUAUACGGUGUGACGCCUGCCCGGUGCCGGAAGGUUAAUUGAUGGGGUUAGCCGCAAGGCGAAGCUCUUGAUCGAAGCCCCGGUAAACGGCGGCCGUAACUAUAACGGUCCUAAGGUAGCGAAAUUCCUUGUCGGGUAAGUUCCGACCUGCACGAAUGGCGUAAUGAUGGCCAGGCUGUCUCCACCCGAGACUCAGUGAAAUUGAACUCGCUGUGAAGAUGCAGUGUACCCGCGGCAAGACGGAAAGACCCCGUGAACCUUUACUAUAGCUUGACACUGAACAUUGAGCCUUGAUGUGUAGGAUAGGUGGGAGGCUUUGAAGUGUGGACGCCAGUCUGCAUGGAGCCGACCUUGAAAUACCACCCUUUAAUGUUUGAUGUUCUAACGUUGACCCGUAAUCCGGGUUGCGGACAGUGUCUGGUGGGUAGUUUGACUGGGGCGGUCUCCUCCUAAAGAGUAACGGAGGAGCACGAAGGUUGGCUAAUCCUGGUCGGACAUCAGGAGGUUAGUGCAAUGGCAUAAGCCAGCUUGACUGCGAGCGUGACGGCGCGAGCAGGUGCGAAAGCAGGUCAUAGUGAUCCGGUGGUUCUGAAUGGAAGGGCCAUCGCUCAACGGAUAAAAGGUACUCCGGGGAUAACAGGCUGAUACCGCCCAAGAGUUCAUAUCGACGGCGGUGUUUGGCACCUCGAUGUCGGCUCAUCACAUCCUGGGGCUGAAGUAGGUCCCAAGGGCAUGGCUGUUCGCCAUUUAAAGUGGUACGCGAGCUGGGUUUAGAACGUCGUGAGACAGUUCGGUCCCUAUCUGCCGUGGGCGCUGGAGAACUGAGGGGGGCUGCUCCUAGUACGAGAGGACCGGAGUGGACGCAUCACUGGUGUUCGGGUUGUCAUGCCAAUGGCACUGCCCGGUAGCUAAAUGCGGAAGAGAUAAGUGCUGAAAGCAUCUAAGCACGAAACUUGCCCCGAGAUGAGUUCUCCCUGACUCCUUGAGAGUCCUGAAGGAACGUUGAAGACGACGACGUUGAUAGGCCGGGUGUGUAAGCGCAGCGAUGCGUUGAGCUAACCGGUACUAAUGAACCGUGAGGCUUAACCUU
rnacentral:rRNA from 1 species